GGGGAUGUAGCUCAGUUGGGAGAGCACAGGCUUUGCAAGCCUGGGGUCGGGGGUUCGAAUCCCCCCAUCUCCA
rnacentral:tRNA from 2 species